ACCAAGUCCUCUUUGGGAUGAAAUGACGCACACAUUACAUAAUGAUUGUGGCCAGUCAAGACAGAAAUACAAGUACGAGACUGCCAGUUCCAUAUUCGAAUAGUCUGGUCAUCACUUGCACUAACAAUCCAUGGAUAUUCGUGGUGAAAUUGAACAGUUCGGAUAUAAUCAAGAUGUCCAAGCAGGGUAAACAAGCACCUAUGCAGCUUGUAGUUCCAAACCUUAAUUUUGUAAUCAUCUCCUCCAGAAACAAACAGAGGCUGAGAUUUGUGGAAAUGG
rnacentral:misc_RNA from 1 species